UGGGGAAUAUUGGACAAUGGGCGAAAGCCUGAUCCAGCCAUGCCGCGUGUGUGAAGAAGGUCUUCGGAUUGUAAAGCACUUUAAGUUGGGAGGAAGGGUUGUAGAUUAAUACUCUGCAAUUUUGACGUUACCGACAGAAUAAGCACCGGCUAACUCUGUGCCAGCAGCCGCGGUAAUACAGAGGGUGCAAGCGUUAAUCGGAAUUACUGGGCGUAAAGCGCGCGUAGGUGGUUUGUUAAGUUGGAUGUGAAAUCCCCGGGCUCAACCUGGGAACUGCAUCCAAAACGGGCAAGCUAGAGUAUGGUAGAGGGUGGUGGAAUUUCCUGUGUAGCGGUGAAAUGCGUAGAUAUAGGAAGGAACACCAGUGGCGAAGGCGACCACCUGGACUGAUACUGACACUGAGGUGCGAAAGCGUGGGGAGCAAACA
rnacentral:rRNA from 1 species